rnacentral:rRNA from 1 species
GACGUAGGGGACGAGCGUUGUCCGGAAUUAUUGGGCGUAAAGAGCUCGUAGGCGGUCUGUCGCGUCUGCUGUGAAAACUCGGGGCUUAACCCCGGGCCUGCAGUGGGUACGGGCAGACUAGAGUGCGGUAGGGGAGACUGGAAUUCCUGGUGUAGCGGUGAAAUGCGCAGAUAUCAGGAGGAACACCGGUGGCGAAGGCGGGUCUCUGGGCCGUAACUGACGCUGAGGAGCGAAAGCAUGGGGAGCGAACAGG